CGUUACAGUCAUGCCACCCUGAAUGAGCAUGAUCCCUCUGAUCUCUGAAAGCUAAGCAGGUCGGGCCUGGUUAGUGCUUGGAUGGAAGACCACCUAGGAAGACCAGAUGCUGUAGGCGU
rnacentral:rRNA from 1 species